rnacentral:rRNA from 1 species
UACGGAGGGUGCGAGCGUUGUCCGGAGUCACUGGGCGUAAAGGGCGCGUAGGCGGCCUGAUAAGUAGGGGGUGAAAUCCUGCGGCUUAACCGCAGGGCUGCCUUCUAAACUGUCAGGCUGGAGCACAGUAGAGGCAGGUGGAAUUCCCGGUGUAGCGGUGGAAUGCGUAGAGAUCGGGAAGAACAUCAGUGGCGAAGGCGGCCUGCUGGGCUGUUGCUGACGCUGAGGCGCGACAGCGUGGGGAGCAAACAGG